rnacentral:sRNA from 1 species
AGCCGAGCCCAGCUAGGAAUGCAGACCUCCUGAAAACCAAGCCGAGGACUGCGGGGUCCGGUGUCCACGCAGAUCAGGCAUGGAUGCUGCUUUGGAUGACUUAAUAGAUACUUUAGGAGGACCUGAAGAAACUGAAGAAGAAAAUACAACGUACACUGGACCAGAAGUUUCAGAUCCAAUGAGUUCCACCUACAUAGAGGAAUUGGGUAAAAGAGAAGUCACAAUUCCUCCAAAAUAUAGGGAACUAUUGGCUAAAAAGGAAGGGAUCACAGGGCCUCCUCCAGACUCUUCGAAACCCAUGGGGCCAGAUGAUGCUAUAGACGCCUUGUCAUCUGACUUCACCUGUGGGUCGCCUACAGCUGCUGGAAAGAAAACUGAAAAAGAGGAAUCUACAGAAGUUUUAAAAGCUCAGUCAGCAGGGACAGUCAGAAGUGCUGCUCCACCCCAAGAGAAGAAAAGAAAGGUGGAGAAGGAUACAAUGAGUGAUCAAGCACUCGAGGCUCUGUCGGCUUCACUGGGCACCCGGCAAGCAGAACCUGAGCUCGACCUCAGCUCAAUUAAGGAAGUCGAUGAGGCAAAAGCUAAAGAAGAAAAACUAGAGAAGUGUGGUGAGGAUGAUGAAACAAUCCCAUCUGAGUACAGAUUAAAACCAGCCAUGGAUAAAGAUGGAAAACCACUAUUGCCAGAGCCUGAAGAAAAACCCAAGCCUCGGAGUGAAUCAGAACUCAUUGAUGAACUUUCAGAAGAUUUUGACCGGUCUGAAUGUAAAGAAAAACCAUCUAAGCCAACUGAAAAGACAGAAGAAUCUAAGGCCACUGCUCCAGCUCCUGUGGCGGAGGCUGUGUCUCAGACCUCCAUGUGUAGUAUACAGUCAGCACCCCCUGAGCCGGCUGCCUUGAAGGGCACAGUGCCAGAUGAUGCUGUAGAAGCCUUGGCUGAUAGCCUGGGGAAAAAGGAAGCAGAUCCAGAAGAUGGAAAACCUGUGAUGGAUAAAGUCAAGGAGAAGGCUAAAGAAGAAGACCGUGAAAAGCUUGGUGAAAAAGAAGAAACAAUUCCUCCUGAUUAUAGAUUAGAAGAGGUCAAGGUAAACAGGCUGGAGUCUUUUUCUAUUUUAUUUUAAUUCAUACUGAAUUCAUACACAGAACAAAGGGACUUGGGAACAGAACUGGAAUAUAAAGAUCUUGUUUCUUCAUAUUUCAAACACCAAAUAGUAUUAGUCUACUACUAAUAGUGUUAGAACACCAGAUACAAAGCCAAAAUAUUCCUAAGUGGACUUGAUCCUCAAGUGAAAGAAAUCUAAUGUCUAAGUUACCUAAUGUUUUCCUUUCUAACCCACAGCUUGUUACAAUACCAGAAAUAUUAAAAAACCUUGUGUAGAUAGGAGAACUAAAAUGAGGAAUAGGCCGGGCAUGGUGGCUCAUGCCUAUAAUCCCAGAACUUUAGAAGGCCAAGGCAGGAGCAUCUCUUGAGCCCAGGAGUUCAAGACUAGCCUGGGCAACAUAAUGAGACCCUGUCUCUACAAAAAAAUCAAAAAAAUUA